rnacentral:miRNA from 1 species
GUGAGCAAGGUUUCAGGUGUGU